GUAGCUAACGCAUUAAGUGCCCCGCCUGGGGAGUACGGCCGCAAGGCUAAAACUCAAAGGAAUUGACGGGGGCCCGCACAAGCGGCGGAGCAUGCGGAUUAAUUCGAUGCAACGCGAAGAACCUUACCAAGGCUUGACAUCCACCGGACCGCACUGGAGACAGUGCUUCCCUUCGGGGCUGGUGGACAGGUGGUGCAUGGUUGUCGUCAGCUCGUGUCGUGAGAUGUUGGGUUAAGUCCCGCAACGAGCGCAACCCUCGUUCUAUGUUGCCAGCACGUGAUGGUGGGGACUCAUAGGAGACUGCCGGGGUCAACUCGGAGGAAGGUGGGGAUGACGUCAAAUCAUCAUGCCCCUUAUGUCUUGGGCUUCACGCAUGCUACAAUGGCCGGUACAAAGGGUUGCGAUACUGUGAGGUGGAGCUAAUCCCAAAAAGCCGGUCUCAGUUCGGAUUGAGGUCUGCAACUCGACCUCAUGAAGUCGGAGUCGCUAGUAAUCGCAGAUCAGCAACGCUGCGGUGAAUACGUUCCCGGGCCUUGUACACACCGCCCGUCAAGUCACGAAAGUUGGUAACACCCGAAGCCGGUGGCCUAACCCCUUGUGGGAGGGAGCCGUCGAAGGUGGGACCGGCGAUUGGGACUUUU
rnacentral:rRNA from 1 species